UUGUUAGUCUCUUGUCUUCCUAUAAAGAAUGUAGUUUGUUCCAAACUUGUCUUAUCUUUUUGCAAUCGAUUUUUCGCCUAUCAUUGGUCAACAUUUCCAAACAGGGGAUGAAGAGAAGAAGUCAAUCGAUCGUUGCGGUCCGUGGCUUUGGUUACCGUCAGUUUUCGUGUUUUUUUUUCUUAUCACAAAAACAGAUGUCCCUUCCAUUCUCAGCAACAAGCAGUCUUACUAACGUCAUUGGUAAUUCCAAAGAUCCGCGUGAGAAAAACAACGUUGACCUGUGCAUGGAGUUAGUACGUAAAGGCUCGUGUUACACGAAAGGAGAAGUAAGAAAAACAAGACUAACCGCUACAAGAUGUAUAGGAAAGAUUACCGACAUCGUCAAUCAAACGCUGUUUGACAUGUGGAUCGUUCUUUAUCUCGUAGAACGAAGCAAAAACAACUUGUGAUCCUGCUACUGGCAGUAAAAAGCCUCUGAUUGUCAUCGGAAUCUCGCACUCGACUGGCAGAGAUCCGCCAUGGAAAAGGCAACGGAAAAAAAGGAUAAUUCCGGCAGCGAAACGGAGGACUGUUCAGCCAAGGCACCUCAAGCUACCGUCACCGUCAUUCGUUUAAAAGCUAAACAUGAUGGCGGAGACGGUUCGCCUCCGCAACCCUGGUGGAGAAAACGGAAAGAGCGCAUUUUUCGCAAGAAAACGCUCUACUCACGUUUCCCAAUCCUGAAAUGGUUAUCUGUUUACUCUGCCCAGGAUUUCGUGGCCGAUCUGGUGGCCGGCAUUACCAUCGGAGUGACAGUCAUCCCGCAAGGAUUGGCUUACGCAACCGUGGCUGGACUUCCUCCUCAAUAUGGGCUAUACGCUUCGUAUAUGGGAUGCCUCGUUUACGCACUGCUAGGCAGCACGCACGCCAUUACUAUCGGUCCAACGGCUCUUAUGGCUCUUGUUACCUACGAUUCCGGUGCCACGUUGAUGGGCCCCGAGGCUGCUGUUCUCUUAGCUUUCCUGACGGGCUGCAUCGUUCUUCUCCUCGGACUGCUUAACUUCGGAUUCUUAAUUGAUUUUAUCGCCGCUCCGGUCGUGGCCGGCUUCACUAGUGCUUCCGCUUUUACUAUCGCAACGACUCAGAUUGAAUCUCUUCUCGGCCUCAAAUUCGAGGAGGAGGGUUUCCUGCACACUUGGAUCGCUGUAUUUGAACAUAUAGAGGAAACCAAAAAAUGGGAUGCCGUGUUGGGAUUCUCUUCCGUCGCCGUUCUACUUCUCCUUCGGGUAUUUGAUCAAAUUCAAUUGGGCAAAGAAGGAGAAAUGACUCGUUGGCAACGGUGGUUCAAUUCCGGCUGUUGGUUGAUAUCCGUCUCGCGCAAUGCCAUUGUUAUUAUCGUUGGAUCGUUAAUCGCUUACGCAUUAACAGAGCCUGGAAGCGACAGUUACCCAUUCACGCUGACCGGUACCAUUCCGGGCGGAUUUCCGCCUUUCAAAUUACCCGCGUUCUCCAUCCAGAACGGUGACGAAUCCUACACGUUUGUUGAGAUAUGCAAAAAUCUAGGCUCCUCCCUCUAUGUUGCUCCGCUUGUUGCUGUUCUUGAAUCCAUUGCCAUCGCUAAAGCAUUCGCUAAAGGGAAAAGGGUGGACGCCAGUCAGGAAAUGAUAGCAAUCGGUACGAGUAAUAUUUUGGGCUCUUUCGCAUCGUCUUUUCCCAUCACCGGUUCUUUUUCGCGAACAUCCGUCAAUGCCGCCAGUGGCGUGAGGACACCUUUCGGCGGAUUAUACACCGCUGCCCUUGUUAUUUUGGCCAUCACCGUUUUGACACCGUACUUUUUUUUCAUUCCGAAAAGUUGUCUUGCGGCUGUAAUUAUUUGCGCUGUCAUUUUCAUGGUGGAAGUCCAUUUGGUGAAAAUGGUUUGGAGAUCAAAGAGGAUUGAUUUGAUCCCGUUUGGAGUCACGUUCGUCUUUUGUCUUUUCGUCGGGCUCGAACAAGGCAUUUUAAUCGGCACGGCCGUUAAUUUGGGAAUGUUACUCUACAGCACUGCUCGACCGCGUAUUCGGAUCCACAAAAUUCAGACUCCGAGCGUAGAGUAUCUACUGAUCACCCCAGAUCGAAGUUUGGUCUUCACCGCUAUGGAAUAUUUCAUGUCGAGCGUUCGCAAGUCCUCGGCUCUUUAUCCCGGUAUCAUCGUUGUCAUGGAUAUGAGCCACGUCUCUUCCGCAGAUUUCACAACUGCCUACGGAUUCGAGAAUAUGAUCAAAAGCCUUCACAAGCACCACCACAAGCUCGUCCUGACUAAAACGAAGCCGGAUGUGUUGCGGAUUUUAUCACGAAUGGGAUGUGAUUUACACGUUCAUGGUGACGGAACGGAUCUGGAACUUUUAUUGAAAGAUGUUGCAACGUCGACUUCAACGCCUGUGAGGUUAUCCGUCGCAUCAUCUUCAUCGUCUUCUUCGAGCGAUGGACAAAGUUCUCAAGUUGAAGAGACUUCGGUGAAUGUUUCAAUCGAUCCGGAUUUGGAAAAGUGAAACUGCGUGGAAAUUGGAAUUGUUUAAUAGUCUUUCGUCGUUGCGUCCUACCUUUUGGAACCCCAGUGGUAAUCAUGGAACAGUAUACUUAGGCAUAAAUUAUAGAAGAUGUGAUAUAGAAGAAUUAUUCUUUAAAUGGACGAAAACAGACGUUCGAUGGGAAGUUCCGAGUCAUCCGGUUGCUGUUUUAACUUCUUGAACAUUAGAACGAGCAGAAAGUUGAUGAUGUUGUUUCCAAAUUCUAGCGCUGCGAACGAAGUGUGCGUCGAGUUGUAACAACACAGAUCGUAAAACAAAAACAGUGUUAGCCCAAUGAUGAUCAGUCAAACGUUUCAUCCUGCUGCAGUGAAGGACUCAAUUUAAAUUAAGUUCAGUUAAUUUAUCUAUGGUGGUGAUACCUUUUCAUCUUGUCCAUCAACUUGCUAGGGUUAUGGCUGGCAAAGUUUCAUUCACGUAGCGCGUAGAAUUCCAGACAGGCUGAAAAUGUGUGUAUCCUCUUGUACAGCCCAAUCUGAGCUCCGUAAUGAAUUUGUCUUUUACGAAAGGUCGUGUUGCAAAGCCUCUGCUUGUCCUGCUCAC
rnacentral:misc_RNA from 1 species